rnacentral:rRNA from 1 species
GACGAACCGUGCAAACGUUGUUCGGAAUCACUGGGCUUAAAGGGUGCGUAGGCGGGCGAGUAAGUCUGGGGUGAAAUCUUUCGGCUCAACCGGAAAAGUGCCUCGGAUACUGCUUGUCUGGAGGGAGGUAGGGGCAUGUGGAACUUCUGGUGGAGCGGUGAAAUGCGUUGAUAUCAGAAGGAACGCCGGUGGCGAAAGCGACGUGCUGGACCUCUUCUGACGCUGAUGCGCGAAAGCUAGGGGAGCAAACGGG